rnacentral:rRNA from 1 species
UGGGGAAUAUUGCACAAUGGGCGCAAGCCUGAUGCAGCCAUGCCGCGUGUGUGAAGAAGGCCUUCGGGUUGUAAAGCACUUUCAGCGGGGAGGAAGGCGAUAAGGUUAAUAACCUUGUCGAUUGACGUUACCCGCAGAAGAAGCACCGGCUAACUCCGGGCCAGCAGCCGCGGUAAUACGGAGGGUGCAAGCGUUAAUCGGAAUUACUGGGCGUAAAGCGCACGCAGGCGGUCUGUCAAGUCGGAUGUGAAAUCCCCGGGGUCAACCUGGGAACUGCAUUCGAAACUGGCAGGCUAGAGUCUUGUAGAGGGGGGUAGAAUUCCAGGUGUAGCGGUGAAAUGCGUAGGGAUCUGGAGGAAUACCGGUGGCGAAGGCGGCCCCCUGGACAAAGACUGACGCUCAGGUGCGAAAGCGUGGGGAGCAAACAGG